ACGUGAUCUGAGUUCAGACCGGAGUAAUCCAGGUCAGUUUCUAUCUAUAAUGGAGCUCUUUCUAGUACGAAAGGACCGAAGAAGCAUGGCCAAUACUUUAUGCAAGCCAUAAUUAUUAAUUUAUGACAUAGCCUCAAUAAAUAACUAAUCUUCCACCUGACCCCAAAAAAAGGGC
rnacentral:rRNA from 1 species